AACAGCUCCUCAAUAUUUACCAGGUUGGCCUUCUGAAUGUCGACGGGUUUUAUGAUCCUUUUCUAUCCUUCAUUGACAUGGCUGUCAGCGAAGGAUUCAUAGCGGAGGAUGCGCGGCGCAUUAUCAUCUCGGCUCCAACUGCCAGGGAGCUAGUUCUGAAGCUUGAGGAGUAUGUUCCCGAGUACGAGGUCGGCUUGGUUUGGGACGAU
rnacentral:misc_RNA from 1 species